CAGCAUCAAUUAGACGGUCAAGGAGAGAGAUUGGAAUCCCAUGGUUGAUUACUUGAAAGAAACCGAACUUAGCCGAGCCAUCUCGCAGCUGCUGCACCAGAUCCUUGUGCUCGCCAGAGAGGUCAAUAACAGGUGAUACCAACUCCGGCAAAGGCCCAUAGAGAUUCUCAUAAAUGCCUGGGCUUAAGAAGAAUGCAAUUGAUACUCGUGGUUUGAGGAAAGGAUUAGCAUAUACACGAUGUUCUCCGCUCUUGUAUUCAUCAUUUGAUAUUAUCUACAUGAAUCAAAAUGCAAGGAGUAAGCUUUGUAAAGCAGAAAGCAUUCUGAGUAUAUAUGAUACAUCAUGGAUUUUACUGGGAUCGACAGGGAUGGGAGCAAGACGAAUUGCAAGUGUAUCUCGCCAGCUUGCAGCUUUUGAUUGGAACAAGUCAUAGUUGGAGUAAAACCCCACUCCACUGCCUGCAGUGACUGUUUCGCGACGAUAAAGCUGCAUCUUCUCCUCUGCCUGCAGCUCAUGGAAGGCCUUAAUAGCAUCAAGCAGACGGUCCAGAAGGGAGACUGAUAUCCCAUGAUUGAUCACCUGAAAGAACCCAAACUUAGCUGAGGCAUCUCGCAGCUGCUUUACCACUUCCUCGUGCUUACCCGAGAGGUCAAUGACAGGAAAAAUGGUGAUUUGCGGAUGUGGCUUUCCUUGUGCUAAGAGAACAUCCUGGACUCAUGAGAAUCCAGGAAGAAGGUUCGAAGCUUGCAGAGGAGAGAGAGAGAAAGGCGAAUUGAUGUGAUUGAAUUACAGAGCAUUCAUGGAAGCCAAAGAAGAGAGAGAAGAGAGUGGAGUUGGAGGGAAAAAAUGAGGGGAGAUAAAAAGGUGGAGUGCAAAUAAUAAAAUUUGGGUGCAAGUGGGGAAAAUAAGAGAGUCAACGUCGGGAAAUUGGAGUCAACGCCUGAAAAGUGGUCUCAGAGAUGAGGAUUCGGUGAUAAAGUUAUUUUAAAGCAGAAGAAUUUAGGUGACAAUGAAGAGAAAAUGUCAACACUAAAAGAAGGUCAAUGAUGAGAAUCUGGAAGGUAGUUCCUUUCCAAAACAAUAAUUUCUAUGGUAAUUUCUUUUCUUUUUGUAUGUGUUAAUUUAAGAAACAUUAUGUACAAUUCUUAGAAUAAAAUCCCACUCCACUUCCAGUGGUGAUCGUAUCUCGGGGAUAAACUUGCAUCUUAUUGACAUCUCAUGGUUGAUUACUUGAAAGAACCAGAACUUAGCUAAGGCAUCUUGCAGUGUUGCAGCUGCUGCAUCAGAUCCUCGUGUUCACCAGAGAGAGAUCAAUGACAGCAUUAUUGACAAGUAUGGUCAGGUCAUUACUUGGGCUGGGUUGUUGAAGCUAAUGAACAAAAGAGUCUUAUGUGGGUAGUGGAAAAUUCAUGCUGUGUGUCUAUGUCUGUGAGUCAAUAAGUCCUUUACUCCGAGUUUGAUGUCAUCAAAUUCUAGUAGAUCUUUAGGGGAUAUUCAUCUCUUGCAGCUUCCUGCUAGUUGUCAUCUGUAAUAAGUCGUAUAUUUUUGGGGAAUGAAUGGUUUCACAAAGACCAAGAGUUUUGUAUUAUCUACUCUCUAUUGAUAUGAAUUUUCAAACCAGAAUUAUGAAGCAA